rnacentral:rRNA from 1 species
AUUGAACGCUGGCGGCAGGCCUAACACAUGCAAGUCGAGCGGAAGAAGGGAGCGUGCUCCUGGAUUCAGCGGCGGACGGGCGAGUAAUGCCGAGGAAUCUGCCUGGCAGCGGGGGAUAACGUCCGGAAACGGGCGCUAAUACCGCAUACGUCCUGAGGGAGAAAGUGGGGGAGCUUCGGACCUCACGCUAUCAGAUGAGCCGAGGUCGGAUUAGCUAGUUGGUGGGGUAAAGGCCUACCAAGGCGACGAUCCGUAACUGGUCUGAGAGGAUGAUCAGUCACACUGGAACUGAGACACGGUCCAGACUCCUACGGGAGGCAGCAGUGGGGAAUAUUGGACAAUGGGCGAAAGCCUGAUCCAGCCAUACCGCGUGUGUGAAGAAGGUCUUCGGGUUGUAAAGCCCUUUUGGUUGGAAGGAAGGGCAGUAAGUUAAUACCUUGCUGUUCUGACGUUACCAACAGAAUAAGCACCGGCUAACUUCGUG